rnacentral:rRNA from 1 species
UUCAAAUCUUUAAGAGCAAACGGUGGAUGCCUUGGCAUCUGGAGCCGAAGAAGGACGUAGCAAUCUGCGAUAAGCCUCGGGGAACUGAUAAGCAAGUUUUGAUCCGAGGGUGUCCGAAUGGGGAAACCCCGCUGGGCGGCGUGCCGACCUAGUGACUCCCGCCUGAAUAUAUAGGGCGGGUAGAGGGAACGUGGGGAAGUGAAACAUCUCAGUACCCACAGGAAGAGAAAGCAACCGCGAUUCCGUUAGUAGUGGCGAGCGAAACCGGAACAGGCUAAACCGAGUACGUGUGAUAUCCGGCAGGAGUUGCGUAUUCGGGGUUGUGGGACUUUUCAGACAGUUCUGCCGAUCUGUCGGCGUUACAAGAAGGUAUAGACGAACCGCAUUGAAAGGCGGGUCAUAGAGGGUGCCAACCCCGUAGUCGAAAUGCCUCUCUUGACGCGAAGAGUAUCCCAAGUAGCACGGGGCCCGAGAAAUCCCGUGUGAAUCUGUCAGGACCACCUGAUAAGCCUAAAUACUCCCAGAUGACCGAUAGCGGACAAGUACCGUGAGGGAAAGGUGAAAAGUACCCCGGGAGGGGAGUGAAAUAGUACCUGAAACCGUUUGCUUACAAACCGUUGGAGCCUCCUUAGUAGGGGUGACAGCGUGCCUUUUGAAGAAUGAGCCUGCGAGUUAGCGAUAUGUGGCGAGGUUAACCCGUGUGGGGUAGCCGUAGCGAAAGCGAGUCUGAAUAGGGCGAUUCAGUCGCAUGUCCUAGACCCGAAGCGAAGUGAUCUAUCCAUGGCCAGGUUGAAGCGACGGUAAGACGUCGUGGAGGACCGAACCCACUUAGGUUGAAAACUGAGGGGAUGAGCUGUGGAUAGGGGUGAAAGGCCAAUCAAACUUCGUGAUAGCUGGUUCUCUCCGAAAUGCAUUUAGGUGCAGCGUUGCGUGUUUCUUGCCGGAGGUAGAGCUACUGGAUGGCCGAUGGGCCCUACAAGGUUACUGACGUCAGCCAAACUCCGAAUGCCGGUAAGUGAGAGCGCAGCAGUGAGACUGUGGGGGAUAAGCUUCAUAGUCGAGAGGGAAACAACCCAGACCACCAUCUAAGGUCCCAAAGCGCGUGCUAAGUGGGAAAGGAUGUGGAGUUGCUUUGACAACCAGGAGGUUGGCUUAGAAGCAGCCACCCUUGAAAGAGUGCGUAAUAGCUCACUGGUCAAGUGAUUCCGCGCCGACAAUGUAACGGGGCUCAAGCACGCCACCGAAGCUGUGGCAUUGACAUUAUUGGUAGGCCUUCGUGGUCCAGCCGUGUUGNNNNNNNNNNNNNNNNNNNNNNNNNNNNNNNNNNNNNNNNNNNNNNNNNNNNNNNNNNNNNNNNNNNNNNNNNNNNNNNNNNNNNNNNNNNNNNNNNNGAUGGGUAGGAGAGCGUCGUGUGGCCAGCGAAGCGGCGGUGUGAACCAGCCGUGGAGGCUACACGAGUGAGAAUGCAGGCAUGAGUAGCGAAAGACGUGUGAGAAACACGUCCUCCGAAAGACCAAGGGUUCCAGGGUCAAGCUAAUCUUCCCUGGGUAAGUCGGGACCUAAGGCGAGGCCGACAGGCGUAGUCGAUGGACAACGGGUUGAUAUUCCCGUACCGGCGAAGAACCGCCCAAGCUAAUCCAGUGGUGCUAAGAGUCCUAACCCGGCUGAGUGGAUCCCUUCGGGGUGAAGCCGGCCGGUCUAACGCUCGACCCCGUUCUGGUGCGGCUAGCGUAUUAACAGGUGUGACGCAGGAAGGUAGCCCAACCCGGGCGAUGGUUGUCCCGGGGCAAGUGCGUAGGCCGAGAGAUAGGCAAAUCCGUCUCUCACACAGGCUGAGACACGAUGCGGAUAAAAAGUGGGUGAUCCUAUGCUGCCAAGAAAAGCAUCGACGCGAGGUUCAAGCCGCCCGUACCCCAAACCGACUCAGGUGGUCAGGUAGAGAAUACCAAGGAGAUCGAGAGAAUCGUGGUUAAGGAACUCGGCAAAAUGCCCCCGUAACUUCGGGAGAAGGGGGGCCUUCCGCUUAUUAGGAUUUACUCCGAAAGGGCGUGGAGGCCGCAGAGACUAGUGGGUAGCGACUGUUUACUAAAAACACAGGUCCGUGCCAAGUCGCAAGACGAUGUAUACGGACUGACGCCUGCCCGGUGCUGGAAGGUUAAGAGGACCGGUUAGCCGCAAGGCGAAGCUGAGAAUUUAAGCCCCAGUAAACGGCGGUGGUAACUAUAACCAUCCUAAGGUAGCGAAAUUCCUUGUCGGGUAAGUUCCGACCUGCACGAAUGGCGUAACGACUUCCCAACUGUCUCAACCGCGAACUCGGCGAAAUUGCAUUACGAGUAAAGAUGCUCGUUACGCGCAGCAGGACGGAAAGACCCCGUGACCUUUACUAUAGCUUUGUAUUGGUGUUCGGUGUGGCUUGUGUAGGAUAGGUGGGAGACUUUGAAGCGGUGACGCCAGUUACCGUGGAGUCAUUGUUGAAAUACCACUCUGGUCACUCUGGAUAUCUAACUUCGAACCGUAAUCCGGUUCAGGGACAGUGCAUGGUGGGUAGUUUAACUGGGGCGGUUGCCUCCCAAAAAGUAACGGAGGCGCCCAAAGGUUCCCUCAACCUGGUUGGCAAUCAGGUGGCGAGUGUAAGUGCACAAGGGAGCUUGACUGUGAGACUGACAGGUCGAGCAGGGACGAAAGUCGGGACUAGUGAUCCGGCAGUGGCUUGUGGAAGCGCUGUCGCUCAACGGAUAAAAGGUACCUCGGGGAUAACAGGCUGAUCUUGCCCAAGAGUCCAUAUCGACGGCAUGGUUUGGCACCUCGAUGUCGGCUCGUCGCAUCCUGGGGCUGGAGUAGGUCCCAAGGGUUGGGCUGUUCGCCCAUUAAAGCGGUACGCGAGCUGGGUUUAGAACGUCGUGAGACAGUUCGGUCCCUAUCCGCUGCGCGCGUAGGAAAUUUGAGAGGAUCUGACCCUAGUACGAGAGGACCGGGUUGGACGAACCUCUGGUGUGCCAGUUGUUCUGCCAAGAGCACCGCUGGUUAGCUACGUUCGGGAUGGAUAACCGCUGAAAGCAUCUAAGCGGGAAGCCGGCCUCAAGAUGAGAUUUCCAUACCUUCGGGUGAGAGGCUCCCAGCCAGACUACUGGGUUGAUAGGCCGGAUGUGGAAGCGUGGUAACACGUGAAGCUGACCGGUACUAAUAAGCCGAUGAUUUGAUAACACA